UCUAGAACCUGCAGGAGAGGAGAGAGGAGGAAGAAUCAUCAUCUUUGGGUGGGAUCUGAUCUGAGGCGAAGCUUGUCCUUAACAUUGAUACAGUUGUCAGUGUACCAGAACGUUGUUGGGGGAAGACUGAGGCUGAAAGGGAAACCACUCCAAGUUCUUAAAGCUAAAGCCGAAGCAGAUGUCAUUUCCAAAAAGAAGAGGAAGAAGCGCAAACACCGCUAUGCCUCCCACUCCCUGGGUUGACAGAACACAAGAUUGUCAACAGAUUCCACAGACGGCAGCGAAGCUAAUGCUUUUGAGGAUCAUCUUACUCCAGCGGAGAGAAAAUUCCUACAGCGGAGACGAGAACUUGAGCUCCAAAGACUGGAAAAGAUGGCGAUAAAAUCACACCAUGAUCGCAUUCUGGAAUUUAACCAAUAUUUAGCUAAUAUAACUGAGCAUUAUGACAUUCCUAAAGUUGGCCCUGGUUAAUUUGCCUCAACCUGUCAUAUGUACUUGUUCCAGUUGAUUAAUCGAACUGAAAUGUAUUUCAGAGUU